GAUGAACGCUGGCGGCGUGCCUAAUACAUGCAAGUCGAGCGAACAGACGAGGAGCUUGCUCCUUCGACGUUAGCGGCGGACGGGUGAGUAACACGUAUGUAACCUACCUAUAAUACUGGGAUAACUUCGGGAAACCGGAGCUAAUACCGGAUAAUAUUUCGAACCGCAUGGUUCGAUAGUGAAAGAUGGCUUUGCUAUCACUUAUAGAUGGACCUGCGCCGUAUUAGCUAGUUGGUAAGGUAACGGCUUACCAAGGCAACGAUACGUAGCCGACCGGAGAGGGUGAUCGGCGACACCGGAACUGAGACACGGUCAAGACUCCUACGGGAGGCAGCAGAAGGGAAUGUUACGCAGUGGGCGAAAGCCUGACGGAGCAACGCCGCGUGAGUGAUGAAGGUCUUCGGAUCGUAAAACUCUGUUAUUAGGGAAGAACAGACGUGUAAGUAACUGUGCACGUCUUGACGGUACCUAAUCAGAAAGCCACGGCUAACUACGUG
rnacentral:rRNA from 1 species